rnacentral:rRNA from 1 species
UACAGAGGGGGCGAGCGUUAUUCGGAAUUAUUGGGCGUAAAGGGCGCGUAGGCGGCCAGAUAAGUCCGGUGUGAAAGUCACAGGCUCAACCUGUGAAUGCCGCUGGAAACUGUCUGGCUAGAGUCCGGAAGGGGCGAGUGGAAUUCCUGGUGUAGCGGUGAAAUGCGCAGAUAUCAGGAGGAACACCAUGGCGAAGGCAGCUCGCUGGGACGGUACUGACGCGUGGAGGCGACGAAAGCGUGGGGAGCAAACAGG